GCCACAUGAUGAGUCCAAGGCGAAUGUGACUCCUCUGUCCUCUGGGUUAUGACCUCUUCCCAUGGCCCUUGGUCUGUAAUCUUGGUGGCUGUGGAGAAGUAUCUCGCUGCCGCUGUAAGGCCAGACCUACAGCAACUUUAAUCAUUGGUCUUUCUCAGCCCUUGUCUUACCUGCCCACCAGAGUGAGUGUGCAGAGUCUGGGGGGACCUACAGGAUGCUCGCUAAUCUGGAGGGGGUGGGGCAGAGGUCAUUACUCUAACGGAGGUGAUUGGGGAGGCAUGAGCACAUAUCUUUGGUAAUCUGAUGGCA